rnacentral:rRNA from 1 species
GUGCCAGCAGCCGCGGUAAUACCGGCAGCUCAAGUGAUGUCCCAUAUUAUUGGGCCUAAAGCGUCCGUAGCUGGCCGACCAAGUCUCCCGGGAAAUCCACCCGCCCAACGGGUGGGCGUCCGGUAGAAACUGGCCGGCUUGGGACCGGAGGGCUCAGAGAGGUACGUCCGGGGUAGGAGUGAAAUCCCGUAAUCCCGAACGGACCACCGAUGGCGAAAGCAUCUCGAGAAAACGGAUCCGGCAGUGAGGGACGAAAGCCAGGGUCUGCAACCGGAUUAGAAACCCUUGUAGUCC